AUGCCAACUGAGGUUCUAGAUCAGAUCCUUUUGCAUGGAUUUUUUGUGGUCCCACCAGCAGUACACAAUUUCUCCAUAAAAGCUGACAGUGACAUGGGCACAUGUACUGGGUAUAUGGACAGUCAGAUUUUUAGGGAGGUGAAGUUUUUCAUAUACCAAAUAGGAGUUUCUGGCGUUUGCUUUCUGCCCUUGUUUAGAUUACACUUGCUGUCAAUGAGAGUGCUGACACUGCUCCAUGAGGACUUGUUUCCAGUUAUGUCUGCGCUGAUGGAAGAUUUCAAAGUAGUUUCUUUCCUUGGGCCAGAUCACCUCUUACAACCUGCUGCUAAGGCACCCAGGACAACAACAACAGGAAAUUCCUCCAGUCUUUCCUCCAGCUGUGAUUGCUUGAUGACAGUGCCCCAUCUUACCCAGAGAUCAUUGUUGUGCACCAGCUCUGCACCUGAGGUUGCUGUAUGAAUUACACCCUGAAGCAGACACUACCAUACUGAGAAAUGUUCCAAGCAGAACAAUUCUCUAUUUCACUGAUAUCAGUUGAAAAAUGAAUGUCACUGCAAUUUAUUAAUCCUGACAUUGGCUCUCCAUGAAAUACAAAGUCAUAUUCCAUGUCUCAGUGUUAAUCUUUAAUAUCCACAAAGGAGUUGGCACAGAUGGUCAAGACAGUUUCUCCCUGAUGGGAGUGAAAUCCUGAAACAGCUGCUUUCCAAAGAAGCUAUGAAAAUGUCACUUUUGAGGCUGACGGUGGAAAUGAGAAGAAAAGGGGGGCAUUUUGACUCUAGAGUUGUCCUGACUCUAGGGUGGGAAGGUCAGGAAGGCUGGGCCCUUGCAAUAUUCAGCACAAAAUGUGCAUCCUCAACAUGGCUUGCUGCACGGCUUGCUGCACAAAUGGGAAGGAGAAGGGGCCUAAUCGACACAGAAGCAGAAGUGAGAGCAGGGAACAGAGUUCAGGGAAAAAAUGUAAUUUAUGUUAUUGUGGAAGAUAUAUCUAGCCAGACUGAAAGAUAAGUAUCUAAAUUUUAUGUUAUUUCUCUUUUCUUGCUAAAUCCUCAGGUUGAUGGAGUCUUUCAGUACUCUUGUAUUCACUGUUCUUCCACUGACAGAAAAUAGUGUCUUGCCACUAUGUGAAGACACAGAUAUCUGUAUUUUGUCCACUGCUGAAGAAUUAAGCCCUUAUUUUGUGCGCCUUAGGUGAAAAAAAAAAGGACUGUGUGGCUUUUACUCAUAUUCAUUUAAUUACAGAUAAGAGAGUUGAAAAAAAUGUAGUAAAGGAAAAAAUUUGGAUUAAAAUCAAACACACCUAAAAAGUUCUGUGUCUUUAAGAUCCUGAGGGAAAACAGGGAUGUAAGAUAUUGUUAUGACAAGACAAUUUAUGCAUUUAAAUUGUGCAUUUUAAAUUAUGCAUUCUGACUUGCAUUUAUGGCUAGUCAGAAACAAAUACAGAAGUGCAGUACAUAAGAUC
rnacentral:lncRNA from 1 species